CGUAUCAUCUUCCUUACAAUUCAUUUUUGUUAUCUUGCAGUCUUAUGAAAAAGGGAAAAGAAAAAAAAAAAAAAGUUGGAUCAAAAGUGACAGUCUGAAAUGAGAGUAUAACAAAUCCGCAGAGGUCAGUCCUGCUUGUGUUUGCCUCUGGGCUCACCUAGAUUCUGGUGAAUGAUACAGAUAUAUUUCAUAGUAUUCUCCUUGUUUUAAACCUACGCUAAUAGCAUUAAGCUAUCAAUAACUUGCCUCCAUUUUCUACCAUGUUGGGUCCAAGAUUUAAAGUAAAAUGGUUUAGGCCCUGACGAGUUAGUAAACUGGCAGCAAAUACUGACAACAAACAGAGCCUGCCUG